CAGCACCUCAAGUGGUCAGGAUGAUUAUUGGGCCUAAAGCAUCCGUAGCCGGCGCUGUAAGUUUUCGGUUAAAUCUGUACGCUCAACGUACAGGCUGCCGGGAAUACUGCAGCGCUAGGGAGUGGGAGAGGUAGACGGUACUUGGUAGGAAGGGGUAAAAUCCUUUGAUCUAUUGAUGACCACCUGUGGCGAAGGCGGUCUACCAGAACACGUCCGACGGUGAGGGAUGAAAGCUGGGGGAGCAAACCGGAUUAGAUACCCGUGUAGUCC
rnacentral:rRNA from 1 species